AGUGAACGCUGGCGGCAGGCCUAACACAUGCAAGUCGAGCGGCAGCGGGUCCUUCGGGAUGCCGGCGAGCGGCGGACGGGUGAGGAAUGCAUCGGAAUCUGCCCUGUCGUGGGGGAUAACCUAGGGAAACUUAGGCUAAUACCGCAUACGACCCACGGGUGAAAGCGGGGGAUCGCAAGACCUCGCGCGAUAGGAUGAACCGAUGUCCGAUUAGCUAGUUGGCGGGGUAAAGGCCCACCAAGGCGACGAUCGGUAGCUGGUCUGAGAGGAUGAUCAGCCACACUGGGACUGAGACACGGCCCAGACUCCUACGGGAGGCAGCAGUGGGGAAUAUUGGACAAUGGGCGCAAGCCUGAUCCAGCCAUGCCGCGUGGGUGAAGAAGGCCUUCGGGUUGUAAAGCCCUUUUGUCCGGGAAGAAAUCGUCUGGGCUAAUACCCCGGGCGGAUGACGGUACCGGAAGAAUAAGCACCGGCUAACUUCGUG
rnacentral:rRNA from 1 species